GACCCGCACAAGCAUUCAAAACAUUACUCCAAACCCAUUGAACCAAAAACUUUUUAUCUCUAAUCCCAUUAACAUUAAACGUUUUUCCACUUUUAUCCUUCAUAACUUCUCCGAUAUAACCACCACCACCGCCGGUACCGUACAAACCCUCACACAAAUCACCAAUCUCCGUCGGCGCCGUCGGAUCCUCACCGGCGUACCACGCGUUCACAAGCGGAUUCGACGAAAGCUCAGCUAAUUCAUGAGCAAUGACACUCACCAUUCCGUCUACUCCGACGUUCCCGUUCGGCGGCGAGAGUUUCCCUGGUCCACCUCCCGCCAUGUAACUCGGUACCGCGAAUGGAUACGCGCAAACCUCCGGACACUGUGUGCCGGAGUUUCCUACCCAAGCGUAAGGGAGAGUGUAACCUACCUUCGACGGAAAAGUGAAGUAGUGGAAACCACACACCGCACGGCAAUAUUCAUCCAUCGUAACAUCAUCGGCGGUUAGAACUAGAUAAAUCCCUUUCCGAUGAUCAACAGGGAAAGGUUUAGAUCGAACCGCCGUAGCGAUUACAUCUUGAAUUGAGAGUCUUGUUAGGCGUUUGCCGAGUGAGUAACGAUAAUCGGAAUAUUCUCCGGCGAUGGAGACUGUUUUGGAGAUGUUAGCACCGGUUUGAUCGGUGUAAAGUGUAACGGUACGCCACCAGUCGGAGACGGAGGGGUGAGGUACGGUUGUAUCGGAGAUUGAAUUGAGAAAAUCUUUGAUGAGAGAUUUGUGUGGUUUUGGCCAGUUACCGUACCAGAUAAGGUAGAUAUUGAUCGGAGAAGAUAAAACUGGACCCAUAUGGUACUUGAGUUUGACUAGAUCGGAAGAUCCUUCAUAACGUUUUGAUGAUGAUAGUGUUUUCAGUGGUGGUAGUGGAAGUUUUGGGUUGAAUUUUGUGUUUAGUGUUUCAAAUUCUCCAUUUUGUUCACUUACUAUAAGUGAAAAGAAAAAAGAUAGAAAAAGAACGAGAAGAAGAAGAAGAAUUGGUGUAGGUGACAUGUUUGUGAAAAUGCUAAUGAGAAAGAAGAAGUGAAGACACUUCACUAGGUAUUUGAAAUUGAAUUGAAAAAUGAGAUUGGGUAAUGUUAUUUUAAUGGGAGGAGACGGUGGAAGAAGGGUUAAGAUUAUAUAGUAAAAGUAGUAAUUUGAUUGGGAGGGAAAGGAAAUGGGCUGGAGACAGCUGCCAUGUGUGGGCGCAACUUUACUGGCCAAAAACAAUCAUAAAUAUCUAUCUACUUUUUUUUUUUUUUUUUAUGUUUUUGAAAAGUUUAGAUAUUUGUUUGUUUGAUUCUAUAAACUUGUUUUGACUCAUACUGAC
rnacentral:lncRNA from 1 species